rnacentral:lncRNA from 1 species
GACGCUCCCAUUAAUACGCUAUGUAAAAUAAACGUACUUACUAACAAAAAUUGAUUCUAGAUUGUUUCUUUUAAUGUGACCUUUUCAAGUAAGAAAAUCAUAGAAAUGCUUUCUACGACAACCUGCUUUUUAUAAAUAUUAAUCUUACAGAAAUAUAGUCAAUUAUGAGCGUUAUCGAAAAAAACCAAACAAAAGAUGCAUUUUAUAUUAUUUUACUAAAUGAUGGCUUAGUCACAAUGCCAAAGCAAUGGUUAACAAAUGAUAAAAAGUAUACAUUUUGGCCUAUAUGUAAAUUCAGCACAAUUUGUUAAUUUAAUUAAAUCAUGUGCUGAAAUAAAUACACAAUGGAUGGCAAAAUAUGAAAUAUAAUUCAUAUAUGAAACAGCAGGUGUAAGAAGUAAAUUCAAAGAUGUAAAAGGGAUGUAAACGCACCUCUUAAAAUUUGGUUAUCUCACACAUAAGAUCGAUUAAAAAAAGACAAGAAUAAUUAAAAUUAUCUUUCUUGGAAUUUAACUUACAAUUAGAACUUAAUUUACA